UGUAGCACAGUGGUAGAGUGCUUGCCUAGCAAAUGUGGAGCCGUAGGUUCAAUCCCCUCUGCUACAAAUUAAAUAAAGAACAUAGCAGAUGGUCCCUUGAAGGAAAGAACAGGAUUUGUGACAGGUUAGGGUCAUUCAUUGUUUUCAUGGAGGAAGAAAAUAAAUGCCUGGUCAUCCCACCUAAGAGGACCAGCAGCAAGGAGGGCAGAGCAAGGUCAGAGGAUGGGAAGGGAGGUGGGUAGACAGACAGGAUUCAUCAAGUCCAGAGGCUGAUCUCUUUCCAAUGGGCACAGAGCCCCUUAUUCUGCAGGCCACGAUGCAUUGUGGGCAUGAAGUAAAUGGAGGUUUCCGAGCAUCCUGGGACUUUGGCCUCAAUGGACAGAAAAUGUUGCAUUUUGACUCAAGCACUAGAAAGUUUACUGAAGUUGAUUCUGAAUCCAGCCAGUUGAAAACUAUGUUGGAGGAAGUAACUGACUUCUUAUACUGGACCUCACGGGGGGACUGUAGGUCCUGGCUUGAGGAGUUCAAGUCACACUGGGAAGAAAAGCUGGAGCCUACAGCCUCGUCAAAUGCUGCUCCGGAUGUGGCAAGCAAGUCCAACAUCUCUGUCCUGCUGAUGAUCCUCAUCUGCUGCCUCCUGUUUCUCUUACAAUAUUUGUGAUGACAGGUUGAAGAUGCUGCAGAGGAGGUCGUGAGAGUUCAUCUGGUGCAGCCACUCUCCCUCUCGUCGGCCUCAACCAGAUGAAUCAUGGUGCUGCCGACACAGUGUGUCAUGAUCUUUCACUCUGUGCUGCUCACUUGGGUCUUUCUUACCACCUUGUACUGUUUCCUUGGUGCUCCUUGGAUGGAUUAUGCUCUUAACAUGGAUCUCAACCUCUGGAAAAGAACAUGGUUGUGUACCAAUUCCUAGCAUAGGAAACAGGACAACCAGAUCCCUUAGUGGGAGUGUGAAGUUUUUACACUUGCUUAUAUAACUGGCAAUAAUCAAUUAUCUCAGAUGUCACCAAAAGAAACCUGUAACAGCUAAUGAUAGAAAAUGGAAAUUGAGAACUAGUUGUUUAGUAGAAGUCACUGGUAACUGUAACACAGUCCCAGACCUUAGCACAGCUAACUCCAUCAUGCAACUGCCAUUCAAGAGGCAAAACUCAGCACACAGACAGCACCACCUGUCAUAACUAAAACAAAGGCCUGAUCCAUCCCAGUCCAUAGUUAAGGGAAGUCUCUGAAUGUACUAACCUUACCUUUUGACUUCUGUAUUUCCACUUCUGGCUAACCAUUCUUGUUAACUGAAGUAUGUCGACCCAAAGCAUGGGUUUUUGUGCUUGAAAGCUCUACCUUAGGGUCGGUGCUACACUGGGAUCCCAAAUACCAUUGUAGUUGCUAACUAGCUAAUAAAAAUUUUCUAU